CGUCACCGUGAGGGCGGGACUUCCUCUCCGGGACCCUGUCAUUUCCGACGUCUUCCGGAAGUUGCUGGUGCGCUCAGUACCGGGCUGUUCACUCCGCGUUGCCCGGCUUCCUGCUGGUCCACCGUCGGCAACUCCGGGGCACCGGCACCGCGCCACCCCCCGAAGAGCACGUUGGGGAUCCCGACGCCCUCUUGUCUCUGGCGCGUCGCCCGCCUUGUUUCCCCGCCGAGCUUUCCUGCUGCGCACGGGGCCGAGUGCCACCCAUGGCGGGGGCCGCUCGGACGCCGGCCUUUGGACAGGCUGUGAUCGGCCCGCCGGGCUCGGGAAAGACCACAUACUGCCUGGGCAUGAGCGAGUUCCUGCGCGCGAUGGGCCGGCGCGUGGCGGUAGUGAACUUGGACCCGGCCAACGAGGGGCUGCCGUACGAGUGCGCCGUGGACGUGAGCGAGCUGGUGGGUUUGAGCGACGUGAUGGACGCCCUGCGGCUGGGGCCCAACGGCGGCCUGCUGUACUGCAUGGAGUACCUGGAGGCCAAUCUGGACUGGCUGCGUGCCAAGCUUGACCCCCUCCGCGGCCAUUACUUCCUCUUCGACUGCCCAGGCCAAGUGGAGCUCUGCACGCACCAUGGCUCCUUGCGCAGCAUCUUCUCCCAGAUGGCCCAGUGGGACCUCAGGCUGACUGCUGUCCACCUGGUAGAUUCUCACUACUGCACAGACCCCGCCAAGUUCAUUUCAGUACUGUGUACCUCCCUGGCCACCAUGCUGCACGUAGAGCUGCCCCACGUCAACCUCCUCUCCAAGAUGGACCUCAUUGAGCACUAUGGGAAGCUAGCCUUCAACCUGGACUACUACACAGAGGUCCUGGACCUCUCCUACUUGCUUGACCACCUGGCUUCUGACCCUUUCUUCCGCCACUAUCGUCAGCUCAAUGAGAAAUUGGUGCAGCUCAUUGAAGACUACAGCCUGGUCUCCUUCAUUCCUCUCAACAUCCAGGACAAGGAGAGUGUCCAGCGAGUCCUGCAGGCUGUGGAUAAAGCCAAUGGCUACUGCUUCGGGGUCCAAGAGCAGCGAAGCCUGGAGGCCAUGAUGUCUGCUGCAAUGGGAGCUGACUUCCAUUUCUCCUCCACCCUGGGAAUCCAGGAGAAGUACCUGGCACCCUCAGACCAGUCAGUGGAACAAGAAGCCAUGGAUCUGUAACAACAGGCUGGGCUCUGGAGAACAAGACAUAACCCAGCACUGGAGAAAGCUGUAGCCCCAGCUCAGCAGGCUGUAGACCCAAGAGCAGUCCUCCCAGCCAGAGCUGGAAGGCUGAUGAAGAGACACCCAGCCCUGCAAAGGACUUCUGGCCAAAAGUCAGACAUGCUGCAAGCAGAGCACCCACCACACCCUCGGUGCUCAUGAGCUCUGGGCACUGCCACCAGGAAUUCAGCACUGGCCCCUCUCAAACUAUUGUGGAAUUGGGAAAGAGAAACAUAGAUGUGAAAGAAAUACAUGGAUUGGUGGCUUCCCACAUACGCCUGGACCAGGGAUCAAACUUGCAAUCUAGGUAUAUGCCCUGACCAGCAAUCGAACCCACUGGACCUUCUGGUGAACUGGACGACACUCCAACCAACUGAGCCACACUGGCUAGGGCUGAGUCUUUGUCUUUUAACUUAUGAUAAAAUCCUAGAAAUGAAAAAGCUGAUGUUUUCCAGGUUCUGGAUUCAUUUGCCUUCCAGAAAAGUGCCACUUUACAUCUCACAGACACUUCCUCAAAAUGCCUCUCUCUCCUAAGGUACCUUAGAAGGGAUCUUCUUGAUCAUCUCUGCUUAUCACCGACAUUAGGAUAAAUGCAUUUCCUGGCUCUGAAUUGGAGCUCCAACAAUUGGGAGAUAGCAUUUGGAACUUAUCAGAGACCACAGUUAAUUGCAAAGGCUUCUAGACCAAAGAGGCUUAGGAGUGAGGGUGAUGCCCUUGAGUCCCACAGAGCUAAAGCACAGCCAGUCUGCUCUCCACUGUUUCUGAAUUAGGAAAAAGCUCCCCUCCAGUCAGUCGGCUGAGUUAGGAAGCCUGAUCCCAGUAGGGGAUGGGGGAAGGUUGAUCUUGGAGAGUCUCUGUCCUUUCUCAAGGCUCCUGAGAAGGGAAGGGGAGUGACUUCAGACCCAUCCCAGCAUUACCAAGGCCCACCCGGUUUUUGAAAGUAGUGGGGAGGCCCAACUGCCCCAGACGUCUGGAAGGA